AAUUGAGCCAGGAAUCCUCUACAACCAUGACAACGAAUGGCAGUAAGAUUGGUCUAUCCCAGCCUGCCACAUAUGGUUUAAUAGGGUUCCUCUCUGUUGCAGUUAUUGGUAUCCUGUUGGGUUGUAUCAUCGUGACAGUAAUGAUGCGGAAGUAUAGGAGAUCAGCAAAAGAAGCUAGUAGUCAGCAACAAGGGAAGUAUCCUCAGACAGCCAAUCAGAACUGUUACAACGGACCACAACAGGAU